rnacentral:rRNA from 1 species
GACGAACGCUGGCGGCGUGCUUAACACAUGCAAGUCGAACGGUGAAGCGCCUUCCUUUUUGGUGGGUGUGGAUGAGUGGCGAACGGGUGAGUAACACGUGAGUAACCUGCCCCCUUCUUCUGGAUAACCGCAUGAAAGUGUGGCUAAUACGGGAUAUUCUGGGUCUGUCGCAUGAUGGGUCUGGGAAAGAUAUUGUUUCGGUGGGGGAUGGGCUCGCGGCCUAUCAGCUUGUUGGGGGGGUGAUGGCCUACCAAGGCGGUGACGGGUAGCCGGCCUGAGAGGGUGGACGGUCACACUGGGACUGAGACACGGCCCAGACUCCUACGGGAGGCAGCAGUGGGGAAUAUUGCACAAUGGGCGCAAGCCUGAUGCAGCGACGCCGCGGGAGGGAUGGAGGCCUUCGGGUUGUGAACCUCUUUCGCCAGUGAAGCAGGCCUGCCUCGUUUGUGGGUGGGUUGACGGUAGCUGGAUAAGAAGCGCCGGCUAACUACGUG